rnacentral:rRNA from 1 species
UCCGGUUGAUCCUGCCGAAGGCUACUGCUAUUGGAGUUCGAUUAAGCCAUGCGAGUCUAAGGGAUCUUCGGAUCCCUGGCGUAAUGCUCAGUAACACGUGGAUAAUCUACCCUCAGGUGGGGCAUAAACCCGGGAAACUGGGGCCAAUUCCCCAUAGAUACAGAUGGCUGGAAUGCUUCUGUAUUCAAAGCUCCGGCGCCUGAGGAUGGGUCUGCGGCCUAUCAGGUUGUAGUCAGGGUCAAGACCUGACUAGCCAGCGACGGGUAUGGGGUGUGAGAGCACUUGCCCAGAGAUGGUUUCUGAGACACGAAACCAGGCCCUACGGGGCGCAGCAGGCGCGAAAACUUCGCAAUGCGGGAAACCGUGACGAGGGUACUCCAAGUGUCUAUGCAUUGCAUAGACUGUUUUUUAGCCUAAAUAGCUAUUAGAGUAAGGGGUGGGCAAGACCGGUGCCAGCCGCCGCGGUAACACCGGCACCUCGAGUGGUAGCCACUAUUAUUGGGCCUAAAGCGUUCGUAGCCGGUUUGGUAAAUUCUUGGGUAAAUCGUACCGCUUAACGGUGCGGAUUCCGGGGACACUACCAGACUUGAGACCGGGGGAGAUCAGAGGUACUUGCGGGGGAGCGGUGAAAUGUUGUAAUCCCGCAGGGACCACCAGUGGCGAAGGCGUCUGAUCAGAACGGCUCUGACGGUGAGGAACGAAACCCUGGGGCGCAAACGGGAUUAGAUACCCCGGUAGUCCAGGGCGUAAACGCUGCUGACUUGGUGUUGGGGAUCCUACGAGGAUGUCCAGUGCUGGCGCGAAGGUAUUAAGUCAGCCGCCUGGGGAGUACGGUCGCAAGACUGAAACUUAAAGGAAUUGGCGGGGGAGCACUGCAACGUGUGGAGCGUGCGGUUUAAUUGGAGUCAACGCCGGA